rnacentral:rRNA from 1 species
GUGACUGCGUACCUUUUGUAUAAUGGGUCAGCGACUUAUAUUCUGUAGCAAGGUUAACCGUAUAGGGGAGCCGGAGGGAAACCGAGUCUUAAUUGGGCGUUAAGUUGCAGGGUAUAGACCCGAAACCCGGUGAUCUAGCCAUGGGCAGGUUGAAGGUUGGGUAACACUAACUGGAGGACCGAACCGACUAAUGUUGAAAAAUUAGCGGAUGACCUGUGGCUGGGGGUGAAAGGCCAAUCAAACCGGGAGAUAGCUGGUUCUCCCCGAAAGCUAUUUAGGUAGCGCCUCGUGAAUUCAUCUCCGGGGGUAGAGCACUGUUUCGGCUAGGGGGCCAUCCCGGCUUACCAACCCGAUGCAAACUGCGAAUACCGGAGAAUGUUAUCACGGGAGACACACGGCGGGUGCUAACGUCCGUCGUGAAGAGGGAAACAACCCAGACCGCCAGCUAAGGUCCCAAAGUCAUGGUUAAGUGGGAAACGAUGUGGGAAGGCCCAGACAGCCAGGAUGUUGGCUUAGAAGCAGCCAUCAUUUAAAGAAAGCGUAAUAGCUCACUGGUCGAGUCGGCCUGCGCGGAAGAUGUAACGGGGCUAAACCAUGCACCGAAGCUGCGGCAGCGAACGUAUCACUUAAAGCGAUUCAGCGGGUUACGAUUGACGGAGCGAAGCGACGUCAAAGCGUAUACAAAGUCGAGUCGGUUUAAGGAUACGUUCGUUGGGUAGGGGAGCGUUCUGUAAGCCUGUGAAGGUGGCCUGUGAGGGUUGCUGGAGGUAUCAGAAGUGCGAAUGCUGACAUAAGUAACGAUAAAGCGGGUGAAAAGCCCGCUCGCCGGAAGACCAAGGGUUCCUGUCCAACGUUAAUCGGGGCAGG